CCGCGUGCAGGAAGACGGCCCUACGGGUUGUAAACUGCUUUUCUGCACCAAGAAUAGGCGCUACGCGUAGCGUUAUGACGGUAGAGCAGGAAUAAGCACCGGCUAACUCCGUGCCAGCAGCCGCGGUAAUACGGAGGGUGCAAGCGUUAUCCGGAUUCAUUGGGUUUAAAGGGUGCGUAGGCGGCCCUGUAAGUCAGUGGUGAAAUGCUGCAGCUCAACUGUAGGACUGCCAUUGAAACUGUGGGGCUUGAGUGCGCCUGAGGUAGGCGGAAUGAGUAGUGUAGCGGUGAAAUGCUUAGAUAUUACUCAGAACACCGAUCGCGAAGGCAGCUUACUAAAGCGUAACUGACGCUGAUGCACGAAAGCGUGGGGAGCGAACAGGAUUAGAUACCCUGGUAGUCCACGCCGUAAACGAUGAUAACUCGCUGUUGGCGAUACACAGUCAGCGGCAAAGCGAAAGCAUUAAGUUAUCCACCUGGGGAGUACGAUCGCAAGGUUGAAACUCAAAGGAAUUGACGGGGGCCCGCACAAGCGGAGGAACAUGCGGUUUAAUUCGAUGAUACGCGAGGAACCUUACCUGGGCUUAAAUGUGGAUUGACCGUUGCUGAAAAGUGACUUCCCUUCGGGGCAAUUUACAAGGUGCUGCAUGGUUGUCGUCAGCUCGUGCCGUGAGGUGUCGGGUUAAGUCCCAUAACGAGCGCAACCCCUAUCGUCAGUUGCUAACAGGUCAAGCUGAGGACUCUGGCGAGACUGCCACCGUAAGGUGAGAGGAAGGUGGGGAUGACGUCUAAUCAGCACGGCCCUUAUGUCCAGGGCUACACACGUGUUACAAUGGUCGGUACAAAGGGCAGCUACAUAGUGAUAUGAUGCUAAUCCCAAAAGCCGGUCUCAGUUCGGAUUGGAGUCUGCAACCCGACUCCAUGAAGCUGGAUUCGCUAGUAAUCGCGCAUCAGCCAUGGCGCGGUGAAUACGUUCCCGGGCCUUGUACACACCGCCC
rnacentral:rRNA from 1 species